rnacentral:tRNA from 1 species
GCGCCUUUAGCUCAGUUGGAUAGAGCAACGACCUUCUAAGUCGUGGGCCGCAGGUUCGAAUCCUGCAGGGCGCGCCA